rnacentral:rRNA from 1 species
GACAGAGGUGCCGAGCGUUAGGCGGAAUCACUGGGCUUAAAGCGUGUGUAGGCGGGCGGGCAAGUACCUUGUGAAAUCCCACGGCUCAACCGUGGAACGGCUGGGUAUACUGCCUGUCUUGAGCCAACUAGGGGCGAGCGGAACAGACGGUGGAGCGGUGAAAUGCGUAGAGAUCCGGAAGAACACCAGUGGCGAAGGCGGCCCGCUGGGCAGUGGCUGACGCUGAGGCGCGACAGCGUGGGGAGCAAACAGG